UACAGGGGGUGCAAACGUUGCUCGGAAUCAUUGGGCGUAAAGCGCACGUAGGCGGUCUGUUAUGUCGGAUGUGAAAGCCCUUGGCUUAACUGAGGAAGUGCAUCCGAAACUGGCAGGCUAGAGUACUAAAGAGGGUCGCGGAAUUCCCGGUGUAGAGGUGAAAAUUCGUAGAUAUCGGGAGGAACACCGGUGGCGAAGGCGGCGACCUGGGUAGAUACUGACGCUGAGGUGCGAAAAGCGUGGGGAGCAAACAGGG
rnacentral:rRNA from 1 species